ensembl:snRNA U6 U6 spliceosomal RNA
GUGCUCACUUCGGCAGCGCAUAGACUAAAAUUGGAACGAUACAGAGAUUAGCAUGGCCCCUGCGCAAAGGAUGACACGCAAAUUCGUGAAGCGUUCCAUAUAAAA